rnacentral:rRNA from 1 species
GACGAACGCUGGCGGCGUGCUUAACACAUGCAAGUCGAACGCUGAAGCUCAGCUUUUGUUGGGUGGAUGAGUGGCGAACGGGUGAGUAACACGUGAGUAACCUGCCUCCUUCUUUGGGAUAACGCCCGGAAACGGGUGCUAAUACUGGAUAUUCACUGGUCUUCGCAUGGGGGUUGGUGGAAAGGGUUUUUCUGGUGGGGGAUGGGCUCGCGGCCUAUCAGCUUGUUGGUGGGGUGAUGGCCUACCAAGGCUUUGACGGGUAGCCGGCCUGAGAGGGUGACCGGUCACAUUGGGACUGAGAUACGGCCCAGACUCCUACGGGAGGCAGCAGUGAGGAAUAUUGCACAAUGGGCGCAAGCCUGAUGCAGCGACGCCGCGUGAGGGAUGGAGGCCUUCGGGUUGUGAACCUCUUUCGCUCAUGGUCAAGCCGCAACAAUGGUUGUGGUGAGGGUAGUGGGUAAAGAAGCGCCGGCUAACUACGUG